rnacentral:rRNA from 1 species
GACGAACGCUGGCGGCGUGCUUAACACAUGCAAGUCGAGCGGAGCGGCCAACGGGUGAGUAACGCGUGAGUAACUGCCCCCCUCUCUGGGAUAACAGUUGGAAACGGCUGCUAAUACCGGAUAGUGGGGGAUGACUCGCGUCCUAUCGGCUUGUUGGUGGGGUAGUGGCAGACCAAGGCGACGACGGGCAGCCGGACUGAGAGGGCGACCGGCCACAUUGGGCUGAGAUAGGGCCCAAGCUCCUACGGGAGGCAGUGGUGGGGAAUAUGGCACAAUGGGGGAAACCCUGAUGCAGCAACGCGCGUGCGUGAGGACGGCCUUCGGGUUGUAAACCGCUUUCAGCCAUGAAGCGGUAGUGGCAGAAGAAGCACCGGCUAACUACGUGCCAGCAGCCGCGGUAAUUC